AGCAGCCGCGGUAAUUCCAGCUCCAAUAGCGUAUAUUAAAGUUGUUGCAGUUAAAAAAGCUCGUAGUUGAAUUUCGGGAUCAAUAUAUCGGUCGUGCCUUUGGUACGUACUGGUAUCAUUGAUUUCUCCUUUCUGACGAAUCAUGAUGUCAUUAAUUUGGUGUUAUGAGGAGUUAGGACUGUUACUUUGAAAAAAUUAGAGUGUUUAAAGCAGGCAUUAGCUUGAAUACAUUAGCAUGGAAUAAUGAAAUAGGACGUUUGACCCUAUUUUUGUUGGUUUUUAGGAUCGACGUAAUGAUUAAUAGGGAUAGUUGGGGGGCAUUAGUAUUCAAUUGUCAGAGGUGAAAUUCUUGGAUUUAUUGAAGACUAACUACUGCGAAAGCAUUUGCCAAGGAUGUUUUCAUUAAUCAAGAACGAAAGUUAGGGGGAUCGAAGACGAUCAGAUACCGUCGUAGUCUUAACCAUAAACUAUGCCGACUAGGGGAUCGGAUGAUGUUAAAUUUUUUUAAUGACUCAUUCGG
rnacentral:rRNA from 1 species